ACAUGCCUAUAACAUAGCAUUAAUGCACUAUAUCCCAUUAGAACUAUGCAGUUAAGAACGCUCAGGCUAGAGUAGUACUAGGAUGGGUGACCGCUCAAGAAGUCCUAGUGUUUUACAUGCC
rnacentral:rRNA from 1 species